rnacentral:rRNA from 1 species
UACGUAGGGCGCAAGCGUUGUCCGGAAUUAUUGGGCGUAAAGAGCUCGUAGGCGGUUUGUCGCGUCUGUCGUGAAAGCUUGGGGCUUAACCCCAAGUCUGCGGUGGAUACGGGCAGACUAGAGGCAGGUAGGGGAGAACGGAAUUCCCGGUGUAGCGGUGAAAUGCGCAGAUAUCGGGAGGAACACCAGUGGCGAAGGCGACUACCUGGCCCACUCUUGACGCUGAGGCGCGAAAGCUAGGGGAGCGAACGGG